rnacentral:lncRNA from 1 species
GUGACCCGCGGCCCUGCGCGACCCGCGCUCGGCGCCCCGGCUCCGCGCGCCUCUGCCGAGCCAGCCCCUCGGGUCCCCGGUCCCAGGAGUUCGCGGUGACCUGCGCGCGUGCGGGGCCCCGGCCCCGGCCCCGGCCCCGGCCCCCGCCCUCAGCCCCGGGCGGAGCAAAGGGAAAAGCCGCCGAGGACGGAGGGGCGCACCCCGGGGGCCGACUCAGAGCCUGCCAGCCUCCCGGGGCGCUGGACCAAUGCUGGGCGCUCGAUACGCGCAGAAGUCGGGGAAGAAGAGCAGGUCAGCGCGGGGCGCCUGAGGCGGGUCCCUGAGGAGAAGGGCUGUGAGUGUCGGAAACACCGAGACGCGAGAACGCGGAGGCCAAGCUUUUAGGGACACUGAACGUUCGGGACAGGAUAUAAUUAGAGCCGGCAGUUUUGAGGGACAGUUCGCCGGAAUUAUCCUCCUAACCGUAUGAGGUGUUCCCUGGGAAGGAGGAAGGACUUUAGAAGAGCAGAUAAAGUCAAGCAUACAGGCAUCAUUCACAUAUCUGUCAGAAAAUUAUGGAAUUAAAAAAAAAUCUCUUCAGGCCAAAGUUAACCUGUUUGAAACUGACCACUGGGAGUUGGCCUUCUGUCUAAAGUUUUGGCUAUUCAUGUGCUCCCAGCUGCCCAAUCAGGUCCUGAAGAACAUCAGCAUCAUUGACAGCCCUGGAAUCCUGUUUGGGGAGAAGCACCGCAUCAGCCGAGGUCAGUGUCCACCCCAGGCCCAUCCCUACUCCGGGGCUGCUGAGGCUCACUGUCAGGCAGCAGAGGAUUUCUGUCUCUAGAGGAUUCUGUCCACCCCCAGGAUGCCUUCAGCAUCCCUGGACAGCCUGGGGGUCCGAGAAACAAUUGGGAGGCAUAGAUAGCAUCAGAGGUUCUGCAUUUAUAUGGUAAAUGCAUGUUUAUAUAGUCCCAAUUUAAGAGCCUCUUGUGCUCUAGGCAUUGUUAUCUUUUGAGAUCAUUUGUAGUAACCUAUAUACAUGUUAAAAUAUACAAUCAUAUUCCAAAUCAAAUAUCAUAAUUCACUAUAAAAAUGUUGAAUUUUGUGUAAUUUUUCUUUUGAAAUUAUUAAGCUACAAGCAAGUAAUGUUUAAUGUGUGUUUGGUUAUCAUUUCCCAAAAAUUAUCAUACAAUUUUGUGAAUUUUGUAUAAAAUGAAAUUAAAUGUCACUUUCAAAUACUUUUUUUUCUUCUUGUUAACACAGUGUUACAUUAGUUUCAGGUGCACAAUAUAAUAAUUCAGCACUUCCAUGCAAUACCCGGUGCUCACCACAAGUGCACUCCUUCAUCCCCAUCAUCUAUUUCACCUGUCCCCCACCCAUGUCCACUUCAGUAACCAUCAGUUUGUUCUCUAUAGUUAAGAGUCUGUUUCUUUUCUUUUCUUUUUUUUUUUUUUUAAGAUUUUUAAGUAAUCUCCAUACCCAACAUGAGGUUCAAACCUACAACCCUGAGAUCAAGAAUCACAUGCUCCACUAACUGAGCCAGCCAGGAUCCCAAGAGUCUGUUUCUUAUUUUGUCUCUUUCUCUCUCUUUAACCCUCAAAUAUUUUUCAAAUGUAAUUAAACUGCUUUUGAAUACUAAUUACAUAAUUAAUGAGCUUCAUGUGUUACAUGUGUAGACAUUUAAUUGUUCUAUUUAUUUCCAAAGAAUUGAUUACACACAAACAUAACUUUUGUUUUAGAUGUAAUAUUUUUUAAAUUAUAUGGAAAACAAAUCAACCAAUCCAGAAAAAUAUAAAUAAAAAAAUCAAAUCCUUUUUUCCUAUCA